rnacentral:rRNA from 1 species
UACGUAGGGGGCGAGCGUUGUCCGAAGUUACUGGGCGUAAAGAGCACGUAGGCGGUCCUUUAAGUCUGGGGUGAAAGGUUCAGCGCUCAACGCGAACAGUGCCUUGGAUACUGGGGGACUUGAGUCUGGGAGAGGGCAGUGGAAUUCCUGGUGUAGCGGUGAAAUGCGUAGAUAUCAGGAGGAACACCAGUGGCGAAGGCGGCUGCCUGGCCUAAGACUGACGCUGAGGUGCGAAAGCGUGGGGAGCGAACAGG